GGCAACCUUGGGAAAAAUAUUAAAUAGAUAUGAGUAUUCGGCUCAAAGAGUUUAGAUAUUGAUUAGAGUUAUAAUUUCUAUAACUAUUUAUUUUUAAUGCUGUCCUAUUAUUAAAAAUGUACUAGACAAACAAAUCACCCAAUCCUUACGUGAGAGGAUAAAUUGAAGCUACACACACACCCAUAAUAUACCAUGGCUCUUUGAAAGCAACAUGUUCUCUUAAUCCUUUCUCUAAGAGAGUCAACGAUUCAUAUAGCUGUCGUACCUACCCUGCAGUGGCAAGAGUCAAUCGAUCCAUAUAGCCGUCGUACCUACCUUGCCCAUCCAUAUCCACGAGGGUUAGCGAAUUUCUCAUAAUGGACCUCCCCCGGGAUUCCACAUCUAUCAUACAUACAUAUAGCUCCAACUUAUCCCUUCAUUGUGGGUUUUUUGCUUCACAAGCUGUAGAUUGGAUAAUGGUCCCUCUUCACAGUCACCAAAAAUGUCUUACAAUGUGGAGCCUUAAAUCUUUUCCUUUGAAUCAACUUAGCCUAAUUGAGUGUGCAAAGUUGAGAUUUAACCAGCAUUUAUCAAUGAUGAAAGCCUUGCCCGACGAUAAGAGCAGCAUUCAAUUCAAUGCAAUAGCGAGGGAAAGAAGCCGUGAGCGAGGCUUUAAGUGAUCCUUGACCGACGAUGAAGAAGAAGUUGCGAGAAGAAAGAACUGAGAGGAUUUCAGGUGAGAGCUUUGCUCGACUGAGGAAUUGGAGAGGACAUAGUCGCACAACCCCUGCAUGCAAGAGAAAGAAAAUAAAGAUGAGAGUGGGGUAAUACAAAGAAUAGAUGGAAAAGAAGUUUCAAUCCUAGUUGGAUAUGCC
rnacentral:misc_RNA from 1 species